rnacentral:rRNA from 1 species
CACGUAGGGGGCUAGCGUUGUCCGGAAUCAUUGGGCGUAAAGAGCGCGUAGGCGGCCAGAUAAGUCCGGUGUGAAAGUCACAGGCUCAACCUGUGAAUGCCGCUGGAAACUGUCUGGCUAGAGUCCGGAAGGGGCGAGUGGAAUUCCUGGUGUAGCGGUGAAAUGCGCAGAUAUCAGGAAGAACACCAAUGGCGAAAGCAGCUCUCUGGGACGGUACUGACGCUGAGACGCGAAAGCGUGGGGAGCGAACAGG